rnacentral:tRNA from 1 species
GGAAGGGCUCCGUCCCCGGUGGGGCGGCCGGACUUCAAAUCCGGUUAGGGUCGUGAGCCGGCUCUAGGUGGGUUCGACUCCCAUGCCCUUCCGCCA